rnacentral:rRNA from 1 species
AACGAACGCUGGCGGCAUGCCUAACACAUGCAAGUCGAACGGAUGUAGCAAUACAGCAGUGGCGCACGGGUGAGUCACACGUGGGAAUAUCCCUUUCAGUACGGAAUAACGUCGGGAAACUGACGCCAAUACCGUAUACACCUCCGGGUGAAAGAUUUUUCGCUGAAAGAUUAGCCCGCGUCAGAUGAGCGAGUUGGUGGGGUAACGGCCUACCAAGGCUCCGAUCUGUAGCUGGUCUUAGAGGACGAUCAGCCAAACUGGAACUGGGACACGGUCCAGACUCCUACGGGAGGCAGCAGUGGGGAAUAUUGGACAAUGGGGGAAACCCUGAUCCAGCCAUGCCGCGUGAGUGAUGAAGGCCUUCGGGUUGUAAAGCUCUUUUGUCAGGGAAGAUGAUGACUGUACCUGAAGAAUAAGCCCCGGCUAACUUCGUGCCAGCCGCCGCUGUAACAC